ensembl:snRNA U1 U1 spliceosomal RNA
AUACUUACCUGUUGGGGGAGAUACCGUGAUCAUGAAGGUGGUUUUCCCAGAGCGAGUCUUAACCAUUGCACUCUGGAUGUGCUGACCCCUGCAAUUUCCCCAAAUGUGGGAAACUCGACUGCAUAAUUUGUGGUAGUGGAGGACUGCAUUCGCGCUUUCCCCUC